CUCAGAUUGAACGCUGGCGGCAGGCCUAACACAUGCAAGUCGAGCGGUAGCACAGAGAGCUUGCUCUCGGGUGACGAGCGGCGGACGGGUGAGUAAUGUCUGGGAAACUGCCUGAUGGAGGGGGAUAACUACUGGAAACGGUAGCUAAUACCGCAUAACGUCGCAAGACCAAAGUGGGGGACCUUCGGGCCUCAUGCCAUCAGAUGUGCCCAGAUGGGAUUAGCUGGUAGGUGGGGUAACGGCUCACCUAGGCGACGAUCCCUAGCUGGUCUGAGAGGAUGACCAGCCACACUGGAACUGAGACACGGUCCAGACUCCUACGGGAGGCAGCAGUGGGGAAUAUUGCACAAUGGGCGCAAGCCUGAUGCAGCCAUGCCGCGUGUGUGAAGAAGGCCUUCGGGUUGUAAAGCACUUUCAGCGGGGAGGAAGGCGGUGAGGUUAAUAACCUCAUCGAUUGACGUUACCCGCAGAAGAAGCACCGGCUAACUCCGUGCCAGCAGCCGCGGUAAUACGGAGGGUGCAAGCGUUAAUCGGAAUUACUGGGCGUAAAGCGCACGCAGGCGGUCUGUCAAGUCGGAUGUGAAAUCCCCGGGCUCAACCUGGGAACUGCAUUCGAAACUGGCAGGCUAGAGUCUUGUAGAGGGGGGUAGAAUUCCAGGUGUAGCGGUGAAAUGCGUAGAGAUCUGGAGGAAUACCGGUGGCGAAGGCGGCCCCCUGGACAAAGACUGACGCUCAGGUGCGAAAGCGUGGGGAGCAAACAGGAUUAGAUACCCUGGUAGUCCACGCUGUAAACGAUGUCGAUUUGGAGGUUGUGCCCUUGAGGCGUGGCUUCCGGAGCUAACGCGUUAAAUCGACCGCCUGGGGAGUACGGCCGCAAGGUUAAAACUCAAAUGAAUUGACGGGGGCCCGCACAAGCGGUGGAGCAUGUGGUUUAAUUCGAUGCAACGCGAAGAACCUUACCUGGUCUUGACAUCCACAGAACUUUCCAGAGAUGGAUUGGUGCCUUCGGGAACUGUGAGACAGGUGCUGCAUGGCUGUCGUCAGCUCGUGUUGUGAAAUGUUGGGUUAAGUCCCGCAACGAGCGCAACCCUUAUCCUUUGUUGCCAGCGGUUAGGCCGGGAACUCAAAGGAGACUGCCAGUGAUAAACUGGAGGAAGGUGGGGAUGACGUCAAGUCAUCAUGGCCCUUACGACCAGGGCUACACACGUGCUACAAUGGCAUAUACAAAGAGAAGCGACCUCGCGAGAGCAAGCGGACCUCAUAAAGUAUGUCGUAGUCCGGAUUGGAGUCUGCAACUCGACUCCAUGAAGUCGGAAUCGCUAGUAAUCGUAGAUCAGAAUGCUACGGUGAAUACGUUCCCGGGCCUUGUACACACCGCCCGUCACACCAUGGGAGUGGGUUGCAAAAGAAGUAGGUAGCUUAACCUUCGGGAGGGCGCUUACCACUUUGUGAUUCAUGACUGGGGUGAAGUCGA
rnacentral:rRNA from 1 species